AAAAAAUCAUGCUAAUUGUGUUUCUCAUAUCCUCAGAUUAAGCUGUAUUAUUUGUGUGUGUGUAUGUGUUGCUGACUCUUGGUUUCACAGAUAAAAGUGGUACCUUUUUUGCUUUUCUGUUUUGUUUCAUUUUAUUUGUUUUCGGGGUUUUUUUGUUUGUUUUUAAAGAGCUAGUCUUGAGUACGUGAGUCUGUUUCUGUCUUACUCAGGCUUGGGACCUCUGAGAAGUGGGGCUUGAGUUUGCCAUUUUUCAGGCCUUCUCUGCCGUGCUGGGAAGAGCAGCCAGAGAUACAGAGCGUCAUCCCUGUGGGGCUAAGUACCCUCCUGCUGCCUUGCUCUGUGCACUUUAGUUGACGACUGAAUUUGAUUAGUAACCUAUAAAAGGUCUACUGAUCUCUGUCAUUGCUCCACUGGAACGUCCUUAAUGUGAAACACAUGCCCCGCCCUGUCCAGCCUGAGCCCGCUGAAGCCGAAGCCAGGUGGGCCCAGUAAAUGCAAGCGCUGGAUUCUGUGGGCAACAGUGGAAUCUCUUCAAAAGAAGAAUUAUAUUUGAAAACACAAAGGUCUCUAGGUUUCAUGUUUCAUCAGAGAACAUAGUGGUUUCUACUACCCACCCUAAGCCUGUGUUGGUGAGCAGUGGAGCCCUGUCUUCAAACAAAAGCCUGUGCAGAGUCCCUGUGAGAUGCUGAUGAAUGAAGAGCCACUCUAGUGGAAGCGGGAAGCCUUCCUACCUCACUGCCUGGGAACCAGCAUUUGCCUCCCCCAACUAGAGAACGCGGUUGCUUCUCUAUCUACUGACACCUGGGCUUUCAAGAGAUUUCCAUCCCAGUUUAAUUUAUAGGAGAAUACAGAACAAUCCAUCAUCCUUUAGUUUCAAGAUAUUGGUAGAUUAUAUAGAUAUCAAAACAGUAACUUUUAUUUUGAAGCAGUGUACUUUUUAAAGUUAAUUUAACAAAUCUUUAUGUCUUCUCUAAGCCACGAUGUUGAAUAUGAUGGCAAAUGAAACUGGCAGGAUCUCUGCCUGCUUAAUAAGUGAAUAAGCAAAUAAGUUGUCA
rnacentral:lncRNA from 1 species